rnacentral:rRNA from 1 species
UACGGAGGGUGCAAGCGUUAUCCGGAUUCACGGGGUUUAAAGGGUGCGUAGGUGGUAUGGUAAGUCAGAGGUGAAAUCUCCAAGCUUAACUUGGAAACUGCCGUUGAUACUAUCAUUCUUGAAUAUCGUGGAGGUAAGCGGAAUAUGUCAUGUAGCGGUGAAAUGCUUAGAUAUGACAUAGAACACCGAUUGCGAAGGCAGCUUGCUACACGAUCAUUGACACUGAGGCACGAAAGCGUGGGGAUCAAACAGG